rnacentral:pre_miRNA from 1 species
AGUUGCUACCUCUUCUUUACUUGUUUCUGGACCCAGUGAAGAAGAGGUAGCAACUGA